rnacentral:tRNA from 1 species
GGAGAUGUGGUUCAAGUGGUAGAGCACCUACCUUGCGAGUACAAGGUCCUGGGUUCAAUCCCUAGUACCACCA